UCGACGCACUCUGAUCCAGCCACGCCGCGUGAGGGAUGACGGCCCUACGGAAUUGAAAACUCCGUUUACAACGGACGAUACUGAUUCACCCGAAACCCUAUCAACGUACUUUAUGAAUAACAGAUCGGCUAACUCCAUGCCGCCCCCCGGUAAUAACAAC
rnacentral:rRNA from 1 species